GACGAACGCUGGCGGCGUGCCUAACACAUGCAAGUCGAACGCAGUGGGGACGGGUGAGUAACACGUGGGUAACCUCGCAUCAGAGGGGAUAACACUUGGAAACAGGUGCUAAACCGAUACUGAUGGAUGGACCCGCGGUGCAUUAGCUAGUUGGUGAGGUAACGGGUCACCAAGGCCACGAUGCAUAGCCGACCUGGAAGGGUGAUGAGCCACACUGGGACGGAGACGCGGCCCAGACUCCUACGAGGGGCAGCGGUAGGGAAUCGUCGACAAUGGACGAAAGUCUGUCCGAGCAACGCGGCGUGAGUGAAGGAGGUUUUGGGACGGUAAAACUCUAUUGUGAGAGAAGCGGUAGCUAACCAGAAAGCCACGGCUAACUACGUGCCAGCCGCCGCGGUAAUAC
rnacentral:rRNA from 1 species